GACGAACGCUGGCGGCGUGCUUAACACAUGCAAGUCGAACGGAAAGGCCCUGCUUGCGGGGUGCUCGAGUGUCGAACGGGUGAGUAAAACGUGGGUGUUAUGCCCUGCACAUCUGGGUAAGACUGGGGAACUGGGUCUAUUACAGGGGAUGAGCCAUUCUUCGUGUGAUGGUUGGAAGGUUUUUUUGGGGUAGGGUGGGCUCGCGGCCUGUCUGCUUGUUGGUUGGGUGAUGGCCUACCUAGGCGGGGUCGGGUAGCCGGCCUGGGGGGGGGGACGGCCACCAUGGGACUUGGAGUAGGGCCCGACUCCUAAGGGGAGCAGCAGGGGGGAAUAAUGCACAAUGGGGGCGAGGCUGAUGCAGCGACGGCGCGUGGGGGAUGACGGGCUUCGGGUUGGAAAAUCCCUUCGCUAGGGAAGAAGCUUUUUGUGACGGUACCUAGAUAAGAAGCACCGGCUAACUACGUG
rnacentral:rRNA from 1 species